rnacentral:rRNA from 1 species
CAGCCAUGCCGCGUGAAGGAUGAAGGCCCUCUGGGUUGUAAACUUCUUUUAUCUGGGACGAAAAAAGGGUAUUCUUACUCACUUGACGGUACCAGAGGAAUAAGCACCGGCUAACUCCGUGCCAGCAGCCGCGGUAAUACGGAGGGUGCAAGCGUUAUCCGGAUUCACUGGGUUUAAAGGGAGCGUAGGUGGGCUGAUAAGUCAGUGGUGAAAUCUCCGGGCUUAACCCGGAAACUGCCAUUGAUACUAUCAGUCUUGAAUUAUCUGGAGGUAAGCGGAAUAUGUCAUGUAGCGGUGAAAUGCUUAGAUAUGACAUAAAACACCAAUUGCGAAGGCAGCUUGCUACGGAUUGAUUGACACUGAGGCUCGAAAGCGUGCGGAUCAAACAGGAUUAAAUACCCUGGUA